rnacentral:rRNA from 1 species
UCAAGCGAACAAGGGCGCAGGGCGAAUGCCUUGGCACUGGGAGCCGAUGAAAGACGUGAUAAGCUGCGAUAAGCUUCGGGGAGCUGCAAAUAAGCAUUGAUCCGGAGAUUUCUGAAUGAGGAAACUCACCUGGGUUCAUACUCAGGUACGUUAUACUGAACUUCAAAAUAGGUAUAUCGAGGGAACCGCCUGAACUGAAACAUCUAAGUAGGGCGAGGAAGAGACAUCAAACGAGAUUCCGUAAGUAGUGGCGAGCGAACGCGGAAGAGGGCAAACCGAGAGUAGAAAUACUUUCGGGGUACGGACUGCUUUUAGGACUUAAUCUGUUAACCGAACGGCAUGGGAAGGCCGGUCAGAGAGUGUGAGAACCACGUAGGUGAAAACGGAGAGAGCUGCGCAGAUUCCAGAGUACGGCCAGACACGUGAAACCUGGUCGGAAGAUGGGGGGACCACCCUCCAACCCUAAAUACUACCCAGUGACCGAUAGCGUAUAGUACUGUGAAGGAAAGGUGAAAAGCACCCCGGGAGGGGAGUGAAAAAGAACCUGAAACCCUGUGCCUACAAGCACCUAGAGCACGUCAAUGUGUGAUAGGGUACUUUUUGUAGAACGGUCCGGCGAGCGAUUGUAUGCAGCAAGGUUAAGGACUUAAGGUCUGGAGCCGAAGCGAAAGCGAGUUUGAAAAGGGCGUUAAGUUGCAUAUAAUGGGCCCGAAACCGGGUGACCUACCCAUGGUCAGGUUGAAGUGGAAGUAAAAUUCCAUGGAGGACCGAACCGACCUCCGUUGAAAAGGCGGCGGAUGAACUGUGGGUAGCGGAGAAAUUCCAAUCGAACCCGGAGAUAGCUGGUUCUCCCCGAAAUAGUUUUAGGACUAGCCUCAAGUUAGAUACCUGGAGGUAAAGCACUGAAUAGCCUAGCGGCCGAGAGGUUAGCGAAGCUUAUCAAACUCAGAAUGCCAGAGUAUUGAUGCUUGGGAGUCAGACAGUGUCAGAUAAAUGUCAUUGUCAAAAGGGAAACAGCCCAGAUCUACAGCUAAGGUCCCAAAGUCAGGUUAAGUGGAAAACGAUGUGAAGAUACGCAGACAACCAGGAUGUUGGCUCAGAAGCAGCCACUCAUUCAAAGAGUGCGUAAUAGCUCACUGGUCGAGCGUCUUUGCGCGGAGAAUUUAACGGGGCUAAACCUGACACCGAAGCUUAGGCAAUACAGUAAUGUAUUGGGUAGGGGAGCGUUGUAUACGCGGAGAAACAGUAGCGUAAGCGGCUGUGGAGUGUAUAGAAGUGAGAAUGCCGGAAUGAGUAGCGCGAAUGCAGUGAGAAUCUGCAUGGCCGAAAGCCUCAGGUUUCUGGAGGAAGGUUCGUCCGCUCCAGGUUAGUCGGGAGCUAAGGUGAGGCCGGAAGGCGUAGCCGAUGCACAGACGGUAGAGAUUCCGUCACCACCAAAAGAGUUAAGCACAGGGACACAUUUGAAGUCUCAGAGCCGGGUGUUGGUUCCGGUAGAGAUCGAGGGAAAUUAGUACCGAAGUCUGAGAUGGAAGAUGGCGAGAAAAGCUGUGUGUAUUUCUGAGGUGCCCGUACCGCAAACCGACACAGGUAGGUAGGAAGAAGAUUCUAAGGCCAACGGGAGAAGGGUUGUUAAGGAACUCGGCAAAUUGACCCCGUAACUUCGGGAGAAGGGGUGCUCCAGAGAUGGAGCCGCAGAGAAUCGGCCCAAGCAACUGUUUACCAAAAACACAGGUUUGUGCUAAAUCGAAAGAUGACGUAUACGAGCUGACGCCUGCCCGGUGCUGGAAGGUUAAGAGGAGAUGUGCAAGCAUUGAAUCGAAGCCCCAGUGAACGGCGGCCGUAACUAUAACGGUCCUAAGGUAGCGAAAUUCCUUGUCAGGU